ensembl:snoRNA
UGGCUCGAUUUCCUGGGGGGUGGGCUCAGCCUGCCCUGCCUCCCCUCAGACGAGCCUAAAGUAGAGAGGCCAGGCUUCCUUCCCCAUGGGAGAGGUGGUUAAGAAAGGAGCCUCACCUGGACUGAUCUCACCUCACAUUU